GCGCUCCCCGCUCCCUGCUCGCUCCCUCGCCUGUCGGAUGGAUGAAAAGUAACCCCUCCCCUCUCCUCUCCAUGCAAGUACUAGCAGUGGCCGUGAAGUCCUUUCGCUCUGGAGUUUGAGAUCUUAGCAGGUGACUCCCAUCAGCUUGCUUUGGCCAUAACAAGUGUCACCUGCUGUAGGCUUGGGGUUGCCAUCAUGGGUCCUGCGGUCGGAGGCAAGGUGACCCAUUUGCCCAAGUACUGCGAAUGAGCCCGGGGAUGUUCACCAGGGGGCUGGAAAAUAUCUGGGGAAUAGCUGGGAGAGGAGUCGGAGCUGUGCAUCAUUCCAGCGACUGAGAGCAGGUCGCCCAACACCAGCGUAAUAGGCAAGAAAGAAAAUUGUUCACCAGUUUCUGCAGCUUAAGCAAUAACUGUCUACUUGACACAGUAAUAAUCAUAGAAAACUUCAGAGGAAGAGAUAAUCAAUAAAGAGAUUGAAAAGGAAAUGAUCAAACUGAUCAGAAGAACUUACAAAAGGCAACGAAGAUGCAGUGAAAGACGCACCUAAAUUCCUCCAGAUAAGGGUGACAGGAUUAAGACAACUUCCCCAGUCUCAUUUGCAUCAGAGAUGGGAAAGGGAGGCACCUCCAUUAGUAUUCAGGAUGGAGAACAAAGAUUCCAAGGCAGGGACCACACUGAAAUCUGGGACCAGAGAAGCAGGGGAGCACUUCUUCAUGAUGGGGAAUCCCUGCUCCAAAUGCUAAUCAACCCAUGUCUGCACACACCCAGCUCAGCAUGUAUCAGACCAAUUCUAGUAGUGACUCCUUUAUUGGUACUCAAAACACUGAAUCCUGUCUGUCUGCAUUGUGAGCUUCCUCAGAGCAAUGCCACCCAUAGCCAGGAGUGAUCAGUUCCUAUCAUCCAGCAUAUGAGCCAUUGUUUACCCAGAAACAAACCUGGUGUUCUGCCUUGAGCCAUUGUUCAUUCCGUACAAAAACCCCUACCCAAGCUCAAGUUUCUGUCCUGGUGCUUGGAUCCAAACACUGCACCAGUUCCUCUUCCCUGCCUGGAACACCUUCACUGAUUUGUGCUGAGGACUCUGCCUGUCUGCAAGCUCCAACAAACACCUGGGAACCUUGACUGGUUCUAGCUUCAUUGAGUGAGGCCCUAACUCUCCCCACCUCCCGCCUCCCCUUCUCACCUACUUUCUAAACUUCAGACUUGGUUUAAUGUCUCUCUCUCUCUCUCUCUCUCUCUCUCCUACUCUAAGCACAGCUUUCUAAACCUGACUUUUGUUGUUCAAAUUAGCUAGACUUCCCCAAAUACCCAAUUGAAACUGUGUAAUAUUGUAACUGCUUUGUUUGUUUGUCUCUUCUUGUAUGGCUAUUACUACAAGUGUCAUUAUAAAUUUCAUGUACCUGGCAAUAAAAUAACUGUUAUGGUCAA